rnacentral:rRNA from 1 species
UACGUAGGGUGCAAGCGUUAAUCGGAAUUACUGGGCGUAAAGCGUGCGCAGGCGGUGAUGUAAGACAGAUGUGAAAUCCCCGGGCUCAACCUGGGAACUGCAUUUGUGACUGCAUCGCUGGAGUGCGGCAGAGGGGGAUGGAAUUCCGCGUGUAGCAGUGAAAUGCGUAGAUAUGCGGAGGAACACCGAUGGCGAAGGCAAUCCCCGUGGGCCUGCACUGACGCUCAUGCACGAAAGCGUGGGAGCAAACAGG